GUGUCAGCCGCCGCGGUAAGACAGAGGGUGCAAACGUUGUUCGGAAUUACUGGGCGUAAAGCGCGUGUAGGCGGCAUGGUAAGUCGGAUGUGAAAGCCCACGGCUCAACCGUGGAAGUGCACUCGAAACUGCCAAGCUAGAGUCCUGGAGAGGAAGGUGGAAUACUCGGUGUAGAGGUGAAAUUCGUAGAUAUCGAGUGGAACACCGGUGGCGAAGGCGGCCUUCUGGACAGUGACUGACGCUGAGACGCGAAAGCGUGGGGAGCAAACAGGAUUAGAUACCCGGGUAGUCC
rnacentral:rRNA from 1 species